rnacentral:rRNA from 1 species
AUUGAACGCUGGCGGCAGGCCUAACACAUGCAAGUCGAGCGAGUGGCGGGCGGGUGAGUAAUGUCUGGGACACUUCCUGAUGGAUGGGGAUAACUACUGGAAACGGUAGCUACUACCGCCUACCAUAGCCUGUGCCCAGAUGGGAUUAGCUUGUUGGUGGGGUAACGGCUCACCAAGGCGACGAGCCCUAGCUGGUCUGAGAGGAUGACCAGCCACACUGGAACGGAGACACGGUCCAGACUCCUACGGGAGGCAGCAGUGGGGAAUAUUGCACAAUGGGCGCAAGCCUGAUGCAGCCAUGCCGCGUGUAUGAAGAAGGUCUUCGGGUUGUAAAGUACUUUCAGCGGGGAGGCGUUACCCGCAGAAGAAGCACCGGCUAACUCCGUGCCAGCAGCCGCGGUAAUUC